rnacentral:rRNA from 1 species
GAACUUAGCAGAGAUGCUUUGGUGCCUUCGGGAACUCUGAGACAGGUGCUGCAUGGCUGUCGUCAGCUCGUGUUGUGAAAUGUUGGGUUAAGUCCCGCAACGAGCGCAACCCUUUAUCCUUUGUUGCCAGCGGCUCGGCCGGGAACUCAAAGGAGACUGCCGGUGAUAAACCGGAGGAAGGUGGGGAUGACGUCAAGUCAUCAUGGCCCUUACGGCCAGGGCUACACACGUGCUACAAUGGCGCAUACAAAGAGAAGCGACCUCGCGAGAGCAAGCGGACCUCAUAAAGUGCGUCGUAGUCCGGAUUGGAGUCUGCAACUCGACUCCAUGAAGUCGGAAUCGCUAGUAAUCGUAGAUCAGAAUGCUACGGUGAAUACGUUCCCGGGCCUUGUACACACCGCCCGUCACACCAUGGGAGUGGGUUGCAAAAGAAGUAGGUAGCUUAACCUUCGGGAGGGCGCUUACCACUUUGUGAUUCAUGACUGGGGUGAAGUCGUAACAAGGUAGGCGUAGCGAG